CUGCCCACUGUAGCAGCACACAUACUAAAAUUGGAAUGAUGCAGAGAUUAGCAUUCCCCUGAGCAAGAAUGACAUGAAAAUUUGUCUUAAGUUUUCAAGUUAUAU